CCUACGUGUGGCAGCGGUGGGGAAUAUUGGACAAUGGGCGAAAGCCUGAUCCAGCCAUGCCGCGUGUGUGAAGAAGGCCUUCGGGUUGUAAAGCACUUUCAGUGGGGAAGAAAGCCUUGGGGCUAAUACCCUCGAGGAAGGACAUCACCCACAGAAGAAGCACCGGCUAACUCCGUGCCAGCAGCCGCGGUAAUACGGAGGGUGCGAGCGUUAAUCGGAAUUACUGGGCGUAAAGCGCGCGUAGGCGGUCUGAUAAGCCGGUUGUGAAAGCCCCGGGCUCAACCUGGGAACGGCAUCCGGAACUGUCAGGCUAGAGUGCAGGAGAGGAAGGUAGAAUUCCCGGUGUAGCGGUGAAAUGCGUAGAGAUCGGGAGGAAUACCAGUGGCGAAGGCGGCCUUCUGGACUGACACUGACGCUGAGGUGCGAAAGCGUGGGUAGCAAACAGGAUUAGAUACCCCUGUAGUC
rnacentral:rRNA from 1 species